CUGAAUGUUUAUUUUGGAGGUGCUGAUAACAAGGCUUAUGGUCACCUCUUCCUUAAAUUUAAAAAUAUUUCAUGGUAGUUACAUUUUAUUUUCACUUGAUUAUUUAGAUGAAGUGUAAUCAAAUGAACUCAAAGUAUAUCGGACUUGGUAGAUUUUCCUGGUUUUAGAGUGACAAAAGUUUAAUCAAAUGAACACAAAGUAUAUUGGACUUUGUAGAUUUUCCUAGUCUGGUUGAGUUGAAGGGAGCUUCUUUUUGUCUUCAUCAACUUUCAAAUUGAUAGUCAUUUUCUUUGGUUGGAUGAAUUAAUUGAUAUAGUCAUCUUUCAAUAACUUAGAUUGUGAUUGAAAUUCAAUAUGCAAAAAUGAUAGAAACAAAAAGUGCAAAUGAGUGGUUGGAAGGUACUUGUACUUGUGGAAGGAUAAGGGUGAUGGCAAAUCUGAUUUUUUACUGAAGAAGCUUG
rnacentral:lncRNA from 1 species